ACAUUACUCAUUUACUCUUACUUAUAUUAGGGUUUAUUUCACUCAACCCUCUCCUCUCAAAUAGCAUCCAACCCCCACUCCAUAUAUCUUCUCUCCUCUUAAACGGCGUCGGUCAUCAACUCUCCUCUCAAACUGCAGCACUUGUGUUCUUCUCUCUUCCGCCUACAACAUCCUUCAAGGUAUGAAAGACUUGUUUCGAAGCAACCAACAAUUAUAAUGGAGGAGACGCUUGAAAUCCUUGAGGUUUCUCAUCUCACAACUGAAGACAUAGUGAAAUAACCUUGAAGAAUUGAAAUGGUGUUGACUCAAUGGUUUAACGUGUUUAAGUAUUUGUAAACCUAUGUUUCCACUCCUUAACUAUUUUUGUUAAGAUUUGUUUGGACUUUUGGUGAAAAUGUUUGUUAAAACUA